rnacentral:rRNA from 1 species
UGCUAACGUCCGUCGUGGAGAGGGAAACAACCCAGACCGCCAGCUAAGGUCCCAAAUUACUACUAAGUGGGAAACGAUGUGGGAAGGCUCAGACAGCCAGGAUGUUGGCUUAGAAGCAGCCAUCAUUAAAGAAAGCGUAAUAGCUCACUGGUCGAGUCGGCCUGCGCGGAAGAUGUAACGGGGCUAAGUAGUAAACCGAAGCUGCGGCAAUGUGCUUUUGCACAUUGGGUAGGGGAGCGUUCUGUAAGCGGUUGAAGGUGUGUGGUAACGCAUGCUGGACGUAUCAGAAGUGCGAAUGCUGACAUGAGUAACGAUAAAGGGGGUGAAAAACCUCCUCGCCGGAAGACCAA